UUUUCCUACGGGACGCAGCAGUGGGGGAUAUUGCACAAUGGGGGGAACCCUGAUGCAGCGACGCCGCGUGGGUGAAGAAGCGCCUCGGCGCGUAAAGCCCUGUCAGCAGGGAAGAAAAUGACGGUACCUGAAUAAGAAGCACCGGCUAAAUACGUGCCAGCAGCCGCGGUAAUACGUAUGGUGCAAGCGUUAUCCGGAUUUACUGGGCGUAAAGGGAGCGCAGGCGGCGCGCCAAGUCUGAUGUGAAACCCCGGGGCUCAACCCCGGGCAUGCAUUGGAAACUGGCGGGCUGGAGUGCCGGAGAG
rnacentral:rRNA from 1 species